UUAGUCUGUGCUAUAAAUCACCUCCAUUCCAGAACGCCCUAGCUUCCUGCCACUGAGGGACCAAGUGUUGGUCAUCGCCAGCUCACAUCCAACCUUGGUGUUGUCCUGCAAAGUGGAACUGGUCCUUUCAUCUUGUUGCUUGGUAAUAAACACCAGCUCGUGUUCUCUGUGGAAGUUGCAAUCCGGAAACGCAUUUAUUCAAUGGGACUGCUGCAGGCUAUGGCUGUUUAUCAGAAUCACUCUGUUUAUUUGCACUGUGAAAAACGUCUACUUUCUAAUUAAAGGAAUUAGCAUGUGGAAA